rnacentral:pre_miRNA from 1 species
UACUAAAAAUUUUAUUUAUUUCUUCAAUUAAAAAUUGACAUGACUAAUGCAAUACCAAGAGAAAUACAUGUGCAAUCCCAUUUUGCCGUACAAGGACCAGUUUUAUCAGUAGAAAUAGAUGGAUUUUUUAACA